GAAGAAGCAAUGACUGAGGGCGAUCCUGAAAACCCGUGUGCAAGAUCCCAAGGAGGAUAACCAGCAAGGGCAUGCCAGCCUCGUUGAACCAGGGGCAAAGCCCAAGAUUCGGCUCUAGCCCAUGUCUGAGCCCGAGGGAAAAAACGAGCAGGCAACAUUCUCAACCUGAAACCAGAGCUCAAGAUCCUAACGGAGGAACACCUGGAAGACCAGCCCACCCUCGUGGACGAGAAAGCAGGAGCCAAGCCCAAGAUUCGGCUUGAGGGAAAAAAUGAGCAGGCAACAUUCGUGGCAAAGGACUUAGUUCCUAACCCAGAACCUGUGACACCCAUUUUCUUUGGGACCGAGUUUAAAGUGGAAUUAGAUUAGAUUGAGGAGAUCAUUGAAACGGAGGAGGAAGAAAAAGAAGACGAAGAAGAAGGCGAUGAUAUCGAUGCUUUCCAGGAUGAUAUCUCCCCACCGAAGACACGGAAGAAGAAGGGGAAGAAAGGCCGCAGCGGGGAUUUGUAUAAGUUCGACAGGGAUGGGCCUUAUUGGCCCUUAAAGUAGGUGCUGAAAUAUGGAGGACGUGGGAGGAAGGUCCAGUGCUCCUCCUACAAAGCACCACUUUCCUGACGACCCCAACUAAAAAAUCCUUCCAUAUAAUAAUAAAUGUUGUACUGAAAACCUGUGUUUAUUUAGCCUAACAAGAAUUUUCAAUAUGGAA
rnacentral:lncRNA from 1 species